rnacentral:rRNA from 1 species
AGGAUAAACGCUGGCGGCGUGCCUAACACAUGCAAGUCGAACGUCCUGUUCUCGCAAGAGAGCAGGGAGUGGCGGACGGGUGAGGAACACAUGGGUACCUACCCCUGAAGUGAGGGAUACCGGCGAGAAAUCGCCGACAAUACCGCAUAGGCUCUUUCUCGCGAGAGAGAGAGCAAAGCUUCGCGCGAGCGGGGCGCUUUGGGAUGGGCCUGUGGCCGAUUAGCUAGCUGGUGGGGUAAUGGCUCACCAGGGCGACGAUCGGUAGCUGGUCUGAGAGGACGAUCAGCCACACUGGGAUUGAGAACGGCCCAGACUCCUACGGGGGGCAGCAGUGAGGAAUUUUCCGCAAUGGACGC